rnacentral:rRNA from 1 species
GAUGAGUAGGGCGGGACACGUGGUAUCCUGUCUGAAUAUGGGGGGACCAUCCUCCAAGGCUAAAUACUCCUGACUGACCGAUAGUGAACCAGUACCGUGAGGGAAAGGCGAAAAGAACCCCGGCGAGGGGAGUGAAAAAGAACCUGAAACCGUGUACGUACAAGCAGUGGGAGCCUCUUUUAUGGGGUGACUGCGUACCUUUUGUAUAAUGGGUCAGCGACUUAUAUUCUGUAGCAAGGUUAACCGAAUAGGGGAGCCGAAGGGAAACCGAGUCUUAACCGGGCGUUAAGUUGCAGGGUAUAGACCCGAAACCCGGUGAUCUAGCCAUGGGCAGGUUGAAGGUUGGGUAACACUAACUGGAGGACCGAACCGACUAAUGUUGAAAAAUUAGCGGAUGACUUGUGGCUGGGGGUGAAAGGCCAAUCAAACCGGGAGAUAGCUGGUUCUCCCCGAAAGCUAUUUAGGUAGCGCCUCGUGAAUUCAUCUCCGGGGGUAGAGCACUGUUUCGGCAAGGGGGUCAUCCCGACUUACCAACCCGAUGCAAACUGCGAAUACCGGAGAAUGUUAUCACGGGAGACACACGGCGGGUGCUAACGUCCGUCGUGAAGAGGGAAACAACCCAGACCGCCAGCUAAGGUCCCAAAGUCAUGGUUAAGUGGGAAACGAUGUGGGAAGGCCCAGACAGCCAGGAUGUUGGCUUAGAAGCAGCCAUCAUUUAAAGAAAGCGUAAUAGCUCACUGGUCGAGUCGGCCUGCGCGGAAGAUGUAACGGGGCUAAACCAUGCACCGAAGCUGCGGCAGCGACACUGUGUGUUGUUGGGUAGGGGAGCGU